AAAAAAAACCGUAGAACCCUUCUUCCCCUCUCACCCCAGCGCCGUUCCCUCCCCUCCAAAAAAAAAUAAUACCUAACCUAGUGGCCCCUUUCAUCUUCUCCAAACGAACGACCCCUCCUUUCUGAAGAACACCUAAUGGCACCCCCUCUCUUCUUCUUCCUCACUUCUAACCUAGAAACACACGAGAACAGACCCUCAUCACCAAAAGCAACUCCAACUCCUUCCCAAACCACCACGAAACAUCACCCAAAACAACUCCAAACUCUAGCUCGAAAAAACCUCCAAAAACUCACUCAAAAUAGUAAAUCAAAGGAAAAAUGGGAUAGACAAGAAUUUCGGGAUUGACUUCACUUUCUGCUGGUUUGGUGUCGAUUUCGGGUUCGGUAGAAAGAUAUGGAUUUUAACUUGACAGGAGGGGUUGCUGUGAUGAUAAGCAACCUCCAGUUCCAACCAAGAGGUUGUGAGUUCGAGUCACCCCAACAGCAAGGUGGGAAGUUCUUGGAGGGAAGGAUGCCGAGGGUGUAUUGAAAAUAGCCUCUCUACCCUAGGAUAGGGUAAGGUCUGCGCAGUGUUGUAAAUAGCGCUCGCCUCAGCACUAAUAGUGUGAGGCGAGGCAAUGCUAGUUGCCAUCGCUAUUUUAUAGUAUGGCAUAGCGUUUUCAAAAAGGCGAGCGCCUCUGCCUUUGUAGCGUGUGGCGACCUGUAGUGUGAGGCGAGCUGUAGCGUCGCUUUUUGCAAAAAAGAAAAGAAGGCAGUAGCAGCGAUCUUCUAAAACAAAAAAUUAGGGCUCGCGAUUUCUUUACUCGUUCUCCUUCAAGUCGACAGCAAACUUACAACAGACCAGCGAUUUCCUUUCUUCUUUCUUCAAAGUAUGCCUUAUUACUACUGAAUUAACAAAAGGCAAGAGAUCAGAAUUUUGAGGUAGAAUCACAGACUGCUUGCUACUGUUAAGCUCAUCUUGAAAGAAAAUCUUCUACAUUAAUCAUUCUUAAAGAGAUUUGAUCAAAGACUUCAAAGAACUUAAUGAGAAGCAUCAAGAGUGAAGUCGACAUUUUCUGCUAGAACUUAAUUAGAAGGGUUUUGCCAAUGGAUCCCUUGAGGAAGAAAUGCCGAGUGUGCGUACUUCUUAAUCGGGACUGCCUACCUGAUUGCGAGAUGCUGAAUAUCUUCCCAACGGAUGAAUUGCUCUUUAAACUUGGCAGUAUAUGUGACAGAUCAGUGGAGGGUCCUUGGGCUGAACUUGAGAAAAUUGACAAAUCACAAUGGAUAGAGUUUAUGGACUUUAAGUCAACGGUUCAGACUGACUUCAAAAAAUUUCCAGUUUUUGGUCCAUUGCAACGCAUUACAGAUCUUUCCAGACAUAAUGAAGAGUUGACGAGAAAGUUGAACGCACUGAUGAAGAGUUGAUUGAGUUGAAAAAACCGAAGAAGAACUAAACUUGUCAGAAGAGUACGAGACCGCCUGCUUCUACUGCAGCUCCGCCUAUUCCUAGUGCAGCAGGUGUCGAUCUCCGCCUAUUCCUAGUGCAACAGGUGUCGAUAUCACGUCUUCAUCUCAAUUGGAAUGCAGAGAUCUUGAAACCUUAUAUGGCGAAAGGAGCUCACCCUCCUUGCAGGUUUCUUUGAUAACAUCCUAAAGGUUGUGGCUCCUCUUGUGGCUUUUGUUGUGGCUGUUGUUGUAUCAGUUGCAAUAAAAUGAAAAUACAACAAAAUAAAAUUCAUAGAAAACACUUAUGUUAAAAUAAUAGAAUAUUACUUGCACCCUUGAACAUUGACAACUGUCAUUAUCUCAUGUACAAGCAGGGCAACACCUUCUUGCUACUCUGUUUCCUCUUCUUUUGUUUUUUUACGGGGCUCAGCGUCAUCCCCAUACCUUUGCCUUGGGUUGGGCGGCCAAUUCUCAACUCACUUCCCCUUUUCCACCUCCUAGACACAAGGGGCAUGCAGAGAUCUUGAAACCUUAUAUGGUGAAGACGGUUCUGACAGUCAUGUUGAACCGAAGGAAUGCUCAUGUUAUCCCUGUCCUCCCUCUCCCUCCCCCUCCUACUCAUGUUGUCCCUGUUCUCCCUGUCCCUCCCGCUCAUGUUGUCUAGCAGGCACCUGCUCAUCAUUCACGUGCAAACUGGCAAGGGGGAAAUUGUCAUGUUCCUCCGGUUCACCAUGACUGUCAGAACCGUCUUCACCAUAUAAGGUUUCAAGAUCUCUGCAUGCCCCUUGCGCCCAGGAGGUGGAACAAGGGAAGUGAGUUGAGAAUUGGCCGCCCAACCCCAGGGGAUGACGCUGAGCCCUGUAAAAAAACAAAAAGAAGAGGAAACAGAGUAGCAAGAAGGUGUUACCCUGCUUGUACAUGCGAUACUGACAGUUGUCAAUGUUCAGGGUGCAGGUAAUAUUCUGUUAUUUUAACAUAAAUGUUUUCUAUGAAUUGUAUUUUCAUUUUAUUGCAACUGAUACAGCCACAACCUUGAGGAUGUUAUCAAAGAAGCCCGCAAGGAGGGAGAGCUCCUUUCGCCUGCUUAGCGUCUGAACCAAAAAGCAGCAGAAUUAUAGAUUUCUCUACAAUCUUUUCUCUCCGUCUCAUUGUAAAUACGUUCUUCCUUUAUUUGAAUUUUUUUUCCUUUCAAUAUCACAGAAUGCAUUGAAGACAGUGUCAUGGUUCAAUCACUGGUUAACAGUGCAACAAUUGUCUGAUUAUGUUGUAGAUAAGCCAACGGAACUACAAAUCGCUUGUGAUCAGUUGUAUAGACCACAAAAUACCCUUUACCAACUAUGGAAGUUGGUGUGCUACAACUUUCUGCAUCAUGGAAUGAAAAAGCUUGAGGAUAUUUUUGAAGGUUUGAUUGUGCUAUCUGCUUGAUCAAAAUGUGGCUCAUGGGAGCAGUUUAUUUAUAGUUGAGGCUAGAGAAUAAAUUUCAAUUAUAGCUGUGGUUAUCAACCUUAGUUAGGUGUGCUAGGUAGAAUAAUGUGCUGCUGUUGAAUAUUGGACCUACAGCAUUGUGGAUAUCGCUGGUUGUCUAAUUUUUCAGUUCUACCAUUUUGCUCUGUAGUAUAAGAACAAACACAGCCAAGCUUGAUUAGGACUAAUAAAAUGUAACAGACAUCAUGAAAUGGACCUAAGAAUUGUGGUAUUUGUGUUGA